AUCCAGCUGACGAGUCCCAAAUGGGGCGAAACGCGCGUUUUGGAU
rnacentral:hammerhead_ribozyme from 1 species